UACGGAGGGUGCGAGCGUUAAUCGGAAUUACUGGGCGUAAAGCGUGCGUAGGCGGUUUGAUAAGUCGGGUGUGAAAGCCCCGGGCUCAACCUGGGAAUUGCAUUCGAGACUGAAUAGCUAGGGUACGGUAGAGGGAAGUGGAAUUUCCGGUGUAGCGGUGAAAUGCGUAGAUAUCGAGAGGAACACCUGCGGCGAAGGCGGGUUGCUGGGCUGACACUGACGCUGAGGCGCGAAAGCCAGGGGAGCGAACGGG
rnacentral:rRNA from 1 species